UGUGGCUCAGUUGGGAGAGUGCUUGCCUAGCAUGCAUGAAGCCCUGGGUUCAAUCCUCAGCA
rnacentral:tRNA from 1 species